rnacentral:rRNA from 1 species
UACAGAGGUCUCAAGCGUUGUUCGGAUUCAUUGGGCGUAAAGGGUGCGUAGGCGGGCAGGUAAGUCCGUGGUGAAAUCCCCGAGCUUAACUCGGGAACUGCCAUGGAUACUAUUUGUCUUGAAUAUUGUGGAGGUAAGCGGAAUAUGUCAUGUAGCGGUGAAAUGCUUAGAUAUGACAUAGAACACCAAUUGCGAAGGCAGCUUACUACACAGUUAUUGACGCUGAGGCACGAAAGCGUGGGGAUCAAACAGG